AAUUGAACCUACAAAUAAUUAUGAGAAAAAUGCCAUGGCCUUUUCCGAGAGAGAUAGAUGGAGAGGGGCUGUAUUGUGUAUGACACAGCGUUACUACCGAGAGGUGGAUGAAAAGAUUAGGGUUUGCUGUCCUCUCUCACACACACACACAAACAAACACACACACACAGCUUCUCACCCCUCACCAUCCUUAUUCAUACCUGUGGCUUUUCCUUUUAGGCACUGAGGGUUGAUGUGUGAUUGAGUGGGAAAAAGAAUGGGAGAGAUGAUUGAAUCCUUCCUUCUUCAUUGAAUGGUCAUCUCAUCAUCAACUCUACUCUUGUGUGCACUUUACAAGGAGAAUAAUCCCAUGCCAUGCAUACCAUCCCUACCCCCUCACCAGACCAUUCUUUUUCACCCUCUUUUAUUAGUCACUUUGCUUAGUCUCUUUCCUCCUCCUCCCUUCUCUCUCUGUGUAUAAAUACCAUCUAUCUCUUGGUAUGUGUGGAGAGGAGGUAGUAUCAAAACCUGAAGGCUGUGAUGCGGUGGCUGCAGUUUGUCAUGGGGGCUUAUCAAAGGGUCGCUUACAGAGGUUAUUGGCAUCCUGUCCACCUCCAAUCCAAUUCAUAUAGCACAUAGCCAUCUCUCAAGGCAUGAGCUUGGAGAGAGAUGUAGAUGGAGGUGGACAUAGCUGCCAAGUGAACUCUGUUGGCUUCUCUUUGUAAAACCCAAGUGACAGAUCUAAAUUCCUUUGCGAGUAAUUAAGCAGGAAAUUAAGAUGACCAGAUGAUCAGUGAGAGGGAUGUGUGGUAAAGAUGACCCAAAAUUGUUGCAAGUUCAAGUAGGUUUUGUUUUCUCUUUUUUUCAUCUCCUUCGCAUGCUGCCAUCAUGUAUCAUCAUUAGAGCUUGGAAUUAUACAUGCAAACUGUUUAACUUCUUUUGCCUCUUCAAUGCUUUGGAAUUCACGAUUAUGUACUAGGAAAUUUAACAAUUCUCUUCUCCUAAAUAUAUAAGUCCAACUUGUUGUACAUAGUUUUAAUUUACUCUUCGAUUUCUCUAUUGUUGUUUGUUCACAUUAACCUUUCCUGCAUUCCACCUCUUCAAUACUGUGGUUUGUUGAGAGAUUUCCUUUGCUUCCAUAUAUCCUACGAAUUAACUGAUGUAGCCUCUUAUUGCAAUUAGGGUUUUCAGAAAUUUUUGACCACAGUACAGUGCAAUAGGAGUACUUCAGGCUAUAGACAAUGAUGAGAUCUAUAUAUUGCUGAAUAUAUUAAUAAGAUGCAGUUGAAUAAUAUUCUCAGUAAACGAGCAGGAUAUGGACUCGAAUGUAAUCUUCUUAGUUUCCUGCAAAACCAUCAUUUGUUUCAGGCUUUAAAGAUUUCAACUCUUUAUCACAUUGUACAAUGGCAAUUACCAUCAGCUUUAUCACAUGAGAUAUGGAAUCUGUACUUGUAUGGAAACCCUAGCAAUAAAUACUCGAUAUGGUGCAUCAAAUAUCUUCUUUCUGUAUCUUAAUUUACUGCACAAUCUUUUUGCUGGACAGUUGGGUCAAGACUCUUAGCGAUCAGACUUUAUCUGCUCAACUUUUGUGUGAGAUUGCAGGUGGCUAACUAGCUUCAGGUCCUAUAUUAUCAACAAAAGGCAGGCAAUUAACUAGUCUGCAGUUUUGUAUGAUUAAUGCCAAUGUAUGUGCAUUAAGGGUUUACCUUGGUGGAUUUUUCUUGUAUUUAAUCAUCCUUAAAGAUCUUCGUAGUGCUCAAAUAUGUUUGUAGGAGAAAAACAACAGCCCAUAAGUAGUUCUUCUUGAGGACGGGACCUAAUAAUGAGUUGUUUGAAGUUGAUGUGUAGAGUGGUCAAAGGCUCAGGGAGAUCUGGAGGCUCAUUCAUUACUUAAGCCUGCAGCUAGCUGCAGGGCUGCAGCUAUUCAAGAGUGUAGAUAGUGAGUUUGUUUGAGAAAUAAACAGAAGCAGAUGAUGACGAGCUUUUUCUAGAGGUUUUAAGUGAUCAUCCAGAAGUGAUAGCAGACUACAUUAGGGUUUUCAACUGGAGGGUAGAAUCCUUUAAUCCUAUGCCAUGGAGAUUUCUUGUCUGAUUUAAGCAUUAAUUACCAUUUGGAAAUGUGAUGUAUACAUGUUUGUGUGGACUAAGAGAAUGAAGAGAUAAAAUAUUAGUAUUGUUCA